GUUGGGAAUAUUGGUAAUCUGGGAAACCGGGAACCAGCAACGCCGCGUGUGCGAUGAAGGCCUUCGGGUUGUAAAGCACUUUUUGAGGGGAUGAAAAAGGACAGUACCCUCAGAAUAAGUCUCGGCUAACUACGUGCCAGCAGCCGCGGUAAGACGUAGGAGACGAGCGCUAUUCGGAUUUACUGGGCGUAAAGCGCGUGCAGGCGGUUUGGUAAGUUGGAUGUGAAAGCUCCCGGCUCAACUGGGAGAGGUCGUUCAAAACUGCCAGACUAGAGAAUAGGAGAGGGAGGUGGAAUUACGGGUGUAGUGGUGAAAUGCGUAGAUAUCCGGAUGAACACCAGUGGCGAAGGCGACCUCCUGGCCUAUUUCUGACGCUCUGACGCGAAAGCUAGGGUAGCAAACGG
rnacentral:rRNA from 1 species